AGCGAACGCUGGCGGCAGGCCUAACACAUGCAAGUCGAACGAAGUCUUCGGACUUAGUGGCGGACGGGUGAGUAACACGUGGGAACGUGCCUUUAGGUGAGGAAUAACGCAGGGAAACUUGUGCUAAUACCGAAUGUGCCCUUCGGGGGAAAGAGUUAUCGCCGUUAGAGCGGCCCGCGUCUGAUAAGGUGGGUGGUGAGGUAAAGGCCAACCAAGGCUGCGGUAAGUAGCUGGUCUGGGAGGAGUAUCAGCCACAUUGGGACUGAGAAACGGACCAAACUCGUACGGGAGGCAGCAGUGGGGAAGCUUGCGCAAUGGGCGAAAGCCUGACGCAGCCAUGCCGCGUGAAUGAUGAAGGUCGUAGGAUUGUAAAAUUCUUUCACCGGGGACGAUAAUGACAGUACCCGGAGAAGAAGCCCCGGCUAACUUCGUGCCAGCCGCCGCAGUAAAAC
rnacentral:rRNA from 1 species